AUACUUAAGACUCUAAAUGAAUUACAUACACAUGCACGGUUAAUUAUCUCUUGUAGUGAGUGAAGGCGAAGCUGAUUUGAUUAGUUAAUCCCGUUAAGCCAUUGGAGGCUUGAUUAUGAUGUUAUGGUGAAAAAAGGGCUGAUUUGAUUAAGGCCUUUUGAGAAAGAAACUUCAAUUGUUGUUAUGCUAAAAUUACAAUUUAGUUUGAAUUCCUGUUUCAAAACGAAGAAAGGAAAGAAAGAGAAGCUUUCUGUUUUUGUGAAGUAUAUAAAAUGGGGGAUGGAUCAUGGGCACGAUGAUAUAAAUAUAAGCAUUUGCACGCUGAUGCAUAUAUUUAUAUUUAGGUUUUACUAACGUAGUAAUUGGCUAUAGUGAGUUAGAAUGAUUACCUUACUAACCUACCCUGUUUGGCGGUACAAAAAUUUGAAGUUCUAUUCUGCUUAUUGUAGAAUUUAAUAUUUUCAAUGAUCUUUCAGAAGUAGAAGAAUUGUUAAGAGUAAAUGUUAAGAAUUGUUAGAGUAAAUAUUAGUUAUAAAUUUUCUUUUCCGUUGUAUUGGCUUAGGAGCUGAGCUAUGCUAGAACCAGGAACUUGGAAGGUACCUGUGACAAGUCGGUUUUUCAUAGGAUGAACAGAUGCUGCCAAAUGUUAAGAACCAACGAGAUGGUAUUCUCUGAGAUUACUUUGAGGAAAAUUAUCUCUCUUGAGAAGCAUGCGUUGCAGAAACCCAAGUGAAGUGGCUAAACUAGAAUCCUAAGAAAGUUUAGGUCGGUUUAGUAGGUGACUAUUGAUAAUAGAUUCUUUAAGUUGUUGAGCUAUGACCAUCUAACUGACCACCGUCAGGGGCGAA
rnacentral:lncRNA from 1 species